GAAGGACGGGGGAGGACGGCUGCUUCCGGCGCCAUAACUGCUGCCAUCUUUACGCUAUGGCUGCGUUCAGCCGUCAGGGAAAUUAAAGAGGGUGCUUUACUGUUGCCCCGAAAUUUUCACCAUGCGUCAGCAGGACAUUAAUGACACUGUCAGGCUUCUCAAGGAGAAGUGCCUUUUCACGGUACAGCAAGUCACCAAGAUUUUGCACAGUUGCCCCUCUGUUCUUCGAGAGGACCUGGGUCAACUGGAAUACAAGUUUCAGCCUCUUCUUAGAGCAUGACUGCAAAGAAAAAGACUUUUGUUUUGCAAAAGAAAAGCAGCUCGGUGACUCCCUCCACAUCGCCACAGUUGAGUCAGACAGCAGUGGCAGUCGUUUGCCAGCGGAAGGAGUUCCUGCUAAGGGGAGGUGCAGGAGAACUAAUUUAUUAUUGUGCAACUGCCAGUCCUGCACAUUCCAAUUAUGGUAAGUGCUCUGCACAGGCAUGUAACAAAACAUAGACCUGUUUUGAAGUGGCUUGUUACCCAAGGGUGCCUCACUCUCAUCUGCACCAACAGGAAGAUGAACUGUGAAGCCU
rnacentral:sRNA from 1 species